rnacentral:rRNA from 1 species
AACGAACGCUGGCGGCAGGCUUAACACAUGCAAGUCGAACGCCCCGCAAGGGGAGUGGCAGACGGGUGAGUAACGCGUGGGAACAUACCCUUUUCUACGGAAUAGCUCUGGGAAACUGGAAUUAAUACCGUAUACGCCCUACGGGGGAAAGAUUUAUCGGGGAAGGAUUGGCCCGCGUUGGAUUAGCUAGUUGGUGGGGUAAAGGCCUACCAAGGCGACGAUCCAUAGCUGGUCUGAGAGGAUGAUCAGCCACAUUGGGACUGAGACACGGCCCAAACUCCUACGGGAGGCAGCAGUGGGGAAUAUUGGACAAUGGGAGCAAGCCUGAUCCAGCCAUGCCGCGUGAGUGAUGAAGGCCUUAGGGUUGUAAAGCUCUUUCACCGAUGAAGAUAAUGACGGUAGUCGGAGAAGAAGCCCCGGCUAACUUCGUG